CUAGAACAUUCUGGCAACUACGAAUUCGCUAACUAGUUGCUUCUGGCAGUUUAUCGUUGAUUCGAUUUUGUUCUAUCAUCCGUGUUCGUCACAAUAUUAUUGAGGUACAAGUGAAGUGGCUACAUCGAUUAUCGACUACAUUACAAGUAUGUAUGCACGCGUCCUUACACACAUGCAUCACAAGUACCGUAUUUGUAAGUUUACUUUUUGCAAUUGUGCAAAAAGAUUGUGGCGUCUAAAAAAGUAACUUUUCGUGAAAGAAAAAUGGCAAAACUAAAGAAAUAUUUCAAACCAAAGGAAAAAACGCUAUUAUAUGCACAUUGUGCACAAAAAUGGUGAAAACGAGUGGAAACACAUCAAAUAUGCGUACGCAUAUUAAAGCAAAUCAUCAUCACAUAGCUGUUAAGCUUUUUUAAAAAAUAAUUAUUAUAAAAAAUAUAUAUUCAGCAGGACACCAGAGACCAGAAUACCAGCACAAGUUCAAAUCAAUCUUUAGCAGAAAUGGGGAAAAUGCCCUGAAACGCUAACCUGAAAACUAACUUUGACGAAGUCAUGUAAUUUGCAAGUAAAUUUAAAUUUUUUUUGGAAAUAUGCAACGAUUGCAACAGAAGGUGGCACUAAGGAGCAACAAAUACCCGCUGCAGUCGUGUUUAUGAUAUCUUAAGAUAACAUGCCAAUACUUCCGUGGAGAAAUUCGCCCGGCAGAGAUUUUUAAAAGUUUGAUGCCCCGAGAUUCCAGAUUUAAAAUAACAGAGCUCACUGAUAGCAAAUAUACCGAAGCUCCCGCAUUGUUAAGUAUGUAUUCAAAGAAAAUAAUAACAUAGCAUUUACAUUGUUACAAUAACAAAUUCUACAAGGUCCUCUUUAUUUGUAAGUGUUUGCUUAACGGCUGUGCAGAUGCACGAGCGCAUACAUCGGAAUACAUAAGCACUUCUAUCAUGGAAGCAUUAAAUGAAUUUUAAAUACCUAUCCAGAAAGCAGUUUCGAUCACUGUAGACAAUAGAGCGAAUCUUGUAGCCGCUGUGAAAGGAUUAUUAGGCACAAAUAUGUGCAUUCCGUGCACAACUCAUACUAUAAACCUUGUUGUCCCCGAUAAGCCGGCAUAUUCAACCCUUUUGACUCGGAUCAAAGAAAUUGUUCGAUAUUUUAAGCAUUAUGUAAAUGCAAUGGACGAAUUGCGAGCUACGCAAAUAAAAAAUGUACCAGAAGACAUGGUGAAAACAGUCAUACAGGAUAUAGAUCUCAUAUCUUGACAUAAUAGAAGCCUUCAAAGCGUUGGCAGCAAUAACUGGACCUAUUUUGUUGAAGAGAAUGAGAUGACAAGUCAUCACGAGCGAAAACUAAUCUGCGAAUUAAUUGAAUAACUGAAGCCAUUCAAGGAAGCCACAAAAAACAUAAGCGUGGAGAAAUACGUUACGGCAAGCCUUGUCAUACCGUUGACUAAUAUGUUGAGACAUUUAGUCGAUGUGGAUAUCCGUACCGAAUAUGGUCAGCUGGCUCGUAGAUUGUUUACCGAAUGUCAACAAACGACGAGUUCCGUUGGAAAAACAUUAUUUGCUAUCUAAAGCCACAAUACUUGAUCCGCGCUUCAAAAGACUACAUAUCAAAUCAGCUCUGCAAUCGAACAAAUCACUUUAAGAGUAACGUAGGAAUGAAAGCAGAAAUGAUGAGAAAUAAAAAAAAACUAUAAUGUGGAGAAUACGGUAGGUUCGAUACAUUUUUUGUGUAUUCGUAUUGUAACGGAUUUCUCGAUAAAUCGUCUACCUGUAACUCACUUUUGAGUUCGAUCACUGGAUUGUUAAAUAAAAGUCCCAAUUUAAUGGCUACACACUUAUCUUUAUUUCUAAUUCCAACAACUUAACACUUAUUGCUCGUUAUUCGAGCUAACAACUUCUUGCUUAUAGCUUGAUGGCUCUUAUCACGACAACACUCUAACUAGAACUGUGUUUGCUGCACAAUCCGGCAGCCCUUAUAUAGUAAAUCUGUAACAAAACAUUGCUUCUAGAACAUUCUGGCCACUACGAAUUCGCUAACUACUUUACUACUAGAACAUUCUGGCAACUACGAAUUCGCUGUCUAGUUGCUUCUGGCAAUUUAUCGUCGAUUCGAUUUUGUUCUAUCAUCCGUGUUCGUCACAGUAUUAUGAAUUAUUUUCGGACAAAAAAUGCAGUACCACCUAACACAAAAGCAGGUUGCUGCCUACUUUCCUUCAUGAAGAUAAUAAAAUUCCAUCGCAUUAAUUCGGGUUACGUGUCAAACAUGGCACUGUAGAGGAAGUAAAUAGAAUUACUAACGAAAUUAAAAACGCUUACGACCAAAUUCAACAAUUCAAGAUGAAAAAGCUAUAGUAGAUUUACCGCAAUACUUAUUAAGCCAACCUACAAAUAUGUUCGUUCCCAUGAGAAAAUAAUGUAAUGAAACAAAACUAGCAGUGGCAACGUCACUUCUUUAUAUAAUUUUAACGAUUGGAUGAAUGAAAUGUCAUGGAACUAAUAUAAGAUUUUUACUCCAAAACAAAGAAUUCACCUCUAUUGUAACCGAAUAGAAAAGAAACUUACGAAAUUCAUAAUCAUAAUAUGAAGGAAUAUCAGUGCUUUUUAUGAAUGUAUAAUUCUAGAUAGAUGCCACAUGGUGAUGCAUAUAUAGACCGAGAACUCCUUGGCGAUGUAUUGUUUACACAAUGCCCAUAAUAUGGACUUCAAUGGACAAAUCAAGAACCCAUUGCUUCGGCAACCAGAAGGACGGAAAUAAGUACAUCGGUUAUAUGGGGGUUAGAGGAAGUAUGGACUAAUUUUUUAAUUUAACAUCAAAUCAUAUUGUGUCUAAAAUACCGUGUUUACUUAAUAUUAUUGUAUUUAAACCAUGUGCAGAGUAUCAUAUAUGUACGUAGAACGGUAGUAUAAGAUAAAUGUUAUUGAAUUAAAAACUAUUAUAACAGCAAACAAUAA